rfam:Sordaria macrospora k-hell, WGS project CABT02000000 data, contig: 2.50
GGCGCGAUGACCGAGUGGCCUAAGGUGUUUGACUCGAAUACUCCAUGAUUCGAACAUAUCAAAUCUCUUCGGAGGCGCAGGUUCAAAUCCUGCUCGCGUCG